GCCUCAUGAGCAGCAGUGGAAAAAAAAAAACACAGCAAAGAAGAAGACCUUCAUCCCAGAAUCCCUUGCGGUGAUAAAGUGACCUCUGCUAGCUGUUAUCCUGCUAGGAAACUAUGGCUCCUCCAGUUGCAGUAUCGCCUCUGAUUAAGACGGCAAGAUAUUCAGCUUUGAUCGCUGGGAUCAUCUACGGCAAAAAGAGAUAUGAUAACCUGAAGCCGAUUGCAGCAGAGGAGAGGAGGAUCGAGGAGGAGGAGAAAAAGGCUCGUGAGGAGCAGGAGCGCAUCGCCAAGCAGCUAGCAGAAGCGAGUGAAGACACCAUCCUGAAGUAAAGCUGCCGAGCUCUCAGGAUUUUCUACGUGCAAUCCCAACCUCUGCCUCCUUCUCCUGGAGCUGCGAUGGUGAAGUCGUGUCCCGACCUGUCAGACACUCCUGUGUUUUGGACGUUUUCACUGUUACCUUGAAUAUUACAGCUCCUCUCUGGACCACUCAGUGAUGUAAACUUUGUUACAUGAAAUGAAAUAAAGCUCUUUAAGUCAACAUUUUUAGACUGUAACUGCAGCCGCACUCAUAAGUUAUUAAGCUUGUUUGUAAUGAAGCAAUCCAUAAAUACAGAAGUACACGAUCACUGAA